rnacentral:rRNA from 1 species
GACGAACGCUGGCGGCGUGCCUAAUACAUGCAAGUAGAACGCACAGUUUAUACCGUAGCUUGCUACACCAUAAACUGUGAGUUGCGAACGGGUGAGUAACGCGUAGGUAACCUGCCUGGUAGCGGGGGAUAACUAUUGGAAACGAUAGCUAAUACCGCAUAAUAUUGAUUAUUGCAUGAUAAUUGAUUGAAAGAUGCUAUUGCAUCACUACCAGAUGGACCUGCGUUGUAUUAGCUAGUAGGUGAGGUAACGGCUCACCUAGGCGACGAUACAUAGCCGACCUGAGAGGGUGAUCGGCCACACUGGGACUGAGACACGGCCCAGACUCCUACGGGAGGCAGCAGUAGGGAAUCUUCGGCAAUGGACGAAAGUCUGACCGAGCAACGCCGCGUGAGUGAAGAAGGUUUUCGGAUCGUAAAGCUCUGUUGUAAGAGAAGAACGGGUGUGAGAGUGGAAAGUUCACACUGUGACGGUAUCUUACCAGAAGGGGACGGCUAACUACG